UCAUCUUGUACGCAUAGGAUAGGUAAACCGUUGGAAUUGUUAGUCACUUGGUUCAGAUUUGUGAACAGCAUUGUAUCCUCCUUCUUUCCACGCCUGGCCGUAGGUUAGUUGGGAGAAGAAUACAAGAACAAAAUCAAAAUCUGAUUCACCUCCACCCUCUCAUCACCCCAACCGUACACCCACUAAGCUUAUCAACCAUGGAUUGAGUUUCAAUACCACACUCUCUUCUCUUAUGCUCCAGGAAAAUCGUGUGUUAAUUGAGAGGGGAACUAUCAUCUAAGUUCCCGGUCAUGUCCUCCCUAGUUCGCAUGAGUUGCAGCAGCCAUGGUGAAGCUCAAAAUUUCACCUACUUCUUUCCUAUCCUUUGGUUCGGCCGAAAUUCCAACCUCUAAGAAGGUAACCUGUCUUCUUUACAUCUCUGCCCCUUCUUCAUUCAUUUCGAUUUGAAAAAGGGUUCUCACCUUGCAUGCGCAUGAUCUGGUCUGAAUUAGUGUUGCCUUCUUUUGCAUGCAAAUGAUGAAUUGAGCUGGACCUUUAUUCCUUCCUUCCCUCGGGCACACAGCUAAAAGUAGAAGUGCGAAUAACUCUUGAGUGUGGGCUGAUUGUUGCUGCUAUUUAAUAAAUAAUUGUGGCAUUCGAGCAUAGCAUGGCAUGCAUACUAUAGGCAUCCCUGUGACUGAGCACGCAUCAUAUAGGCAUCCCUCGGUACCAGGGUAUGGGACACUUGGCAUCCGUUCGCAUAGGUCACAGUGGGAUUCAAUAAAUGAAGGUGCCGUUGCAUGGAAUUCCCACUGUGUAUGCACGCGCACGACGGUGCUAUGAGCGUGAAGAAGGCGUUAUAUACGCAAUAUGAUAUAUGAUGAAAAGGAACUAUGAUGAAAAGGAUUUAAUGUUUGUAGCGACUGUUUAUAAUUUUGUGCUUAGCAAACGCACCCUAAGAUCAUAUCAUAAAUUUUCUUAUCGAACUUAUAAUUAAAUAUGGUGUCUAAUUAAUUAGGUGUAAAAAAACUAAGUUAAUUAUUAAUAAUUGUUCAUAUGGCAAGUGUGUAUAUAAAACAAUUUUUUUUAAAAAAGUAAAUUUUUAGAUUAUUAUAUUAGAAUAAUUAAACAACAUAACUAAAAGAUUGAAAGAAAUAUCAUAAAAAAUAUUUUCAAUAAAUUUUUUUUAUUAAUUUCAGUUAUUUGAAAGUAAAGAGAUUAUUUUCGACAAAAAAAAAAUAGAAUUAUACAAAAGACCAAAUCUUUUACGGGAAAUCAUGCUCUCCUACGACAUGAAGCAGAUUC